AAAACGACUCUCGGCAACGGAUAUCUAGGCUCUCGCAUCGAUGAAGAACGUAGCAAAAUGCGAUACUUGGUGUGAAUUGCAGAAUCCCGUGAACCAUCGAGUUUUUGAACGCAAGUUGUGCCCGAAGCCAUUAGGCUGAGGGCACGUCUGCCUGGGCGUCUC
rnacentral:rRNA from 1 species